GUAUUAUAUGAAAGGAGAGGUUAGCACUCCCCUUGAUAAGGAUGGAAGAGGACCUCAUGGCCUUUCCAACACAUAUACAAUGAAGGCAUUGCCACCUACUGUGUGUUAUCUAACCAUGUUUUUAA